GGUAAGAUGGCUGAGUGUUAAGCGGUGGUUUGUAGCCCCAUAGACAGAGGUUGAACUCCUCUUUUUACCA
rnacentral:tRNA from 1 species